rnacentral:rRNA from 1 species
UACGUAGGGACCGAGCGUUGUCCGGAUUCAUUGGGCGUAAAGAGCUCGUAGGCGGCUGUUCAAGUCGAACGUGAAACUCGGAGCUCAACUCCGAGCCUGCGUUCGAUACUGGACGGCUAGAGUCUGGUAGGGGAUCGUGGAAUUCCUGGUGUGAGCGGUGGAAUGCGCAGAUAUCAGGAGGAACACCGGUGGCGAAGGCGGGAUCCUGGGCCAGUACUGACGCUGAGGAGCGAAGGCCAGGGGAGCAAACAGG